UACGGAGGGGGCUAGCGUUGUUCGGAAUUACUGGGCGUAAAGCGCACGUAGGCGGCUUUGUAAGUUAGAGGUGAAAGCCCGGAGCUCAACUCCGGAACUGCCUUUAAGACUGCAUCGCUUGAACGUCGGAGAGGUAAGUGGAAUUCCGAGUGUAGAGGUGAAAUUCGUAGAUAUUCGGAAGAACACCAGUGGCGAAGGCGACCUACUGGACGACUGUUGACGCUGAGGUGCGAAAGCGUGGGGAGCAAACAGG
rnacentral:rRNA from 1 species